rnacentral:rRNA from 1 species
UGGGGAAUUUUGCACAAUGGGGGAAACCCUGAUGCAGCGACGCCGCGUGAUUUAGAAGGCCUUCGGGUUGUAAAAAUCUUUUUUAUGGGAUGAAAAUGACAGUACCAUAAGAAUAAGGUCCAGCUAAAUACGUGCCAGCAGCCGCGGUAAUACGUAUGGACCGAGCGUUGUCCGGAAUCAUUGGGCGUAAAGGGUACGUAGGCGGCCCAGUAAGUUAGAAGUGAAAUAAUAUAGCUCAACUAUAUAAAGCUUUUAAAACUGCUAGGCUUGAGAGAUGGAAGGGAAAGUGGAAUUCCUAGUGUAGCGGUGAAAUGCGCAGAUAUUAGGAAGAAUACCGGUGGCGAAGGCGACUUUCUGGUCAUCAUCUGACGCUGAGGUACGAAAGCGUGGGUAGCAAACAGG